UACGUAGGGUGCAAGCGUUGUCCGGAAUUAUUGGGCGUAAAGAGCUCGUAGGCGGCCAAGCAGGUCCGUUGUGAAAACUGGAGGCUUAACCUCCAGACGUCGACGGAAACCGCGUGGCUAGAGUCCGGAAGAGGCGAGUGGAAUUCCUGGUGUAGCGGUGAAAUGCGCAGAUAUCGGGAGGAACACCUAUGGCGAAGGCAGCUCGCUGGGACGUUACUGACGCUGAGACGCGAAAGCGUGGGGAGCAAACAGG
rnacentral:rRNA from 1 species